rnacentral:lncRNA from 1 species
AAAAAAAGAAGUUGGGUUGAAUAAGGACUUAGAAUCGAACAAAAACAGCUCAAAAAUUCAAAUGAGAACAGAUCUGUGACUGUGUCAGAUUCCAGAUCUACAGUGAGAAAACCUGCACAACACACAAGAAAACAACUGCCACAAAACCCAAAUGCUUGGACGAGUACUUUGAAACACAUCAUAAAAAAUGCUACACCAAGAAGAAAGAGCCUUCUAGACGAGAUCAUUCAUAAGCAUUUGGGUUUUGUGGCAGUUGUUUUCUUGUGUGUUGUGGAGGUUUUCUCACUGUAGAUCUGGAAUCUGACACAGUCACAGAUCUGUUCUCAUUGGAAUUUUUGAGCUGUUUUUGUUCGAUUCUAAGUCCUUAUUCAACCCAACUUCUUUUUCAUCUUUCUUCCUUUUUUCUACUGUUUCUCUGCCACUGCCUUUGUUUUUCUUUAUAUUGUUUAUCAAAUUUGGAAUUCAAAGUUCUUCUUUCUUUAAGCCUUUUUUUGUUAGCUUGGUUUUAUAGGUUUUUAUUUUGUUAAAGAUGGUCCAACUUCCUCUGAUCAUCUUUUAAUUUCAGAUUCAGCCAGUAUUUGCGGGUUCUCUCUUUCAAAGUCUCUUUCUUUGAUUGAUUUCUUCUAG